ACCUGACUGCUAUCGGAUUGAUACUAAGCCAUGCGAGUCAUUGUAGCAAUACAAGGCAUACGGCUCAGUAACGCGUAGUCAACCUAACCUAUGGACGGGAAUAACCUCGGGAAACUGAGAAUAAUUCCCGAUAGAACAUUAUACCUGGAAUGGUUUAUGUUCCAAAUGAUCUAUCGCCGUAGGAUGGGACUGCGGCCUAUCAGUUUGUUGGUGAGGUAAUGGCCCACCAAGACUAUUACAGGUACGGGCUCUGAGAGGAGUAGCCCGGAGAUGGGUACUGAGACACGGACCCAGGCCCUAUGGGGCGCAGCAGGCGAGAAAACUUUGCAAUGUGCGAAAGCACGACAAGGUUAAUCCGAGUGAUUUCUGCUAAAGAGAUCUUUUGUUAGUCCUAGAAACACUAACGAAUAAGGGGUGGGCAAGUUCUGGUGUCAGCCGCCGCGGUAAAACCAGCACCUCAAGUGGUCAGGAUGAUUAUUGGGCCUAAAGCAUCCGUAGCCGGCUCUGUAAGUUUUCGGUUAAAUCUGUACGCUCAACGUACAGGCUGCCGGGAAUACUGCAGAGCUAGGGAGUGGGAGAAGUAGACGGUACUCGGUAGGAAGUGGUAAAAUGCUUUGAUCUAUCGAUGACCACCUGUGGCGAAGGCGGUCUACUAGAACACGUCCGACGGUGAGGGAUGAAAGCUGGGGGAGCAAACCGGAUUAGAUACCCGGGUAGUCCCAGCUGUAAACUAUGCAAACUCAGUGAUGCAUUGGCUUGUGGCCAAUGCAGUGCUGCAGGGAAGCCGUUAAGUUUGCCGCCUGGGAAGUACGUACGCAAGUAUGAAACUUAAAGGAAUUGGCGGGGGAGCACCACAAGGGGUGAAGCCUGCGGUUC
rnacentral:rRNA from 1 species